rfam:Cryptococcus dejecticola CBS 10117 unplaced genomic scaffold supercont1.3, whole genome shotgun sequence.
AUCUACGGCCACAGAACAUAGAAAGUACCGGGUCCCGUCAGCUCCCCGCAGUCAAGCUAUGUAUCGCUCGGUUAGUACCAAAGUGGGGGACCAUUUGGGAAUCCCGAGUGCUGUAGUUU